rnacentral:rRNA from 1 species
GUCGAGAAUUUUUCUCAAUGGGCGCAAGCCUGAAGGAGCGACGCCGCGUGGGGGAUGAAGGGCUUCGGCUCGUAAACCCCUGUCAUUUGCGAACAAACCUCAUUCAUGAAUAGUGGGUGAGCUGAUUGUAGCGAAAGAGGAAGGGACGGCUAACUCUGUGCCAGCAGCCGCGGUAAUACAGAGGUCCCAAGCGUUGUUCGGAUUCACUGGGCGUAAAGGGUGCGUAGGUGGUGGGGUAAGUCUCGUGUGAAAGCUCGCGGCUCAACCGCGAAAAGUCACGGGAUACUAUUCUGCUGGAGGGUUGGAGGGGGGACUGGAAUUCUCGGUGUAGCAGUGAAAUGCGUAGAUAUCGAGAGGAACACCAGUGGCGAAGGCGAGUCCCUGGACAACACCUGACACUGAGGCACGAAAGCUAGGGGAGCAAACAGGAUUAGAAACCCUAGUAGUCC